rnacentral:rRNA from 1 species
GUCGAACGAGCUCUCCCAAAUUGAUUUUAUGCUUGCAUAAAUGAUUUUUGGAUUCGGAGCGAGUGGCGAACUGGUGAGUAACACGUGGGUAACCUGCCCCGAAGCGGGGGAUAACAUUUGGAAACAAAUGCUAAUACCGCAUAAUUAGUCAGAACCGCAUGGUUCCGACUUAAAAGAUGGCUCUGCUAUCACUUCGGGAUGGACCCGCGCCGUAUUAGUUAGUUGGUGAGAUAAAAGCCCACCAAGACGAUGAUACGUAGCCGACCUGAGAGGGUAAUCGGCCACAUUGGGACUGAGACACGGCCCAGACUCCUACGGGAGGCAGCAGUAGGGAAUCUUCCACAAUGGACGAAAGUCUGAUGGAGCAACGCCGCGUGAGUGAUGAAGGGUUUCGGCUCGUAAAACUCUGUUGUUAAAGAAGAACAAGCAUGAGAGUAACUGUUCAUGCUUUGACGGUAUUUAACCAGAAAGCCACGGCUAACUACGUGCCAGCAGCCGCGGUAAUACGUAGGUGGCAAGCGUUGUCCGGAUUUAUUGGGCGUAAAGCGAGCGCAGGCGGUUUUGUAAGUCUGCUGUGAAAGCCCUCAGCUCAACUGAGGAAGUGCAGUGGAAACUACAAAACUUGAGUACAGAAGAGGAAAGUGGAACUCCAUGUGUAGCGGUGAAAUGCGUAGAUAUAUGGAAGAACACCAGUGGCGAAGGCGGCUUUCUGGUCUGUUACUGACGCUGAGGCUCGAAAGCAUGGGUAGCGAACAGGAU